UGCUCUUCCGCCACACAGGUGGCCUAAUUAACCUCAUUUGCCGCUGGUCACUGUUUUACGCUAAACUGUAGUUAAUUCCCGUUUAUUAUAUUCAAACUAAUCGAGCUGUCACAGUUCAUUAAAUUUAGAAAAAACUCCGAGAAUCUUGCUAAACCGCUGUUGUUUUCAGGCAUGACAGAGGACCCCUAAAACCAGGCAUGACUCAGCAGAACCCAGAGGAGCACGAGGAUGUCCUGCAGACACAGAAAUCCCUGAGAACGAACACCGACAGUUUCCACACGAAGCCGUGAAGCUUGAAGGCGGUCGCAAAAUGAAUCCUCAUCUGGAGUUUCUUCAGUGGAUGAGCAGGAGGAGGAAGAGGAAGAGGAGAGCUGGAUCCUUUCAGGAAGAGUUACCUUGCAGAACAGCAGGUUGAGCUGCUUCCCCGAGCCGUGGUACCCCCCCUGGGACAGGAAGAGCUUGACCUGCUCCUGGACCUGCUCCUCGUCUAGAUGCCAGCAGUUCUCAUCGUCCACGCUGGCGCCCGCCGUCGGAUCUGGAGCUCCUGCAGCAACAAACGCGAACUCAUCAACUGUUCAGGGUUUAUAUUCAUGUCCAAAACAUUGACUUCCUUCAACACUGUUGUUAAAUAAAACACAUGGAGUAAA